GGUGAACCUGCGGAAGGAUCAUUACAGAGUUCAUGCCCUUCGGGGUAGAUCUCCCACCCUUGUGUAUCAUUAUCAAAUGUUGCUUUGGCGGGCCGCGAGCCUGGCUUGCCCGGAUUCACAUCCGGCGUGCCCGCCAGAGGACCCCAAACUCUGAAUGUUAGUGUCGUCUGAGUACUAUUAAAUAGUUAAAACUUUCAACAACGGAUCUCUUGGUUCUGGCAUCGAUGAAGAACGCAGCGAAAUGCGAUAAGUAAUGUGAAUUGCAGAAUUCAGUGAAUCAUCGAAUCUUUGAACGCACAUUGCGCCCCUUGGUAUUCCGGGGGGCAUGCCUGUUCGAGCGUCAUUAAUACCAAUCUAGCCCGGCUAGGUGUUGGGCCUCGCCGUCGGGCGGGCCUUAAAAUCAGUGGCGGUGCUCCUCAGCUCUACGCGUAGUAAUUCUUCUCGCUACAGGGCCUGAGGAGGUGCUGGCCAGCAACCCCAAAUUUUUCAGGUUGACCUCGG
rnacentral:sRNA from 1 species